rnacentral:rRNA from 1 species
AGCGAACGCUGGCGGCAGGCUUAACACAUGCAAGUCGAACGGGCGUAGCAAUACGUCAGUGGCAGACGGGUGAGUAACGCGUGGGAACGUACCUUUUGGUUCGGAACAACCCAGGGAAACUUGGGCUAAUACCGGAUAAGCCCUUACGGGGAAAGAUUUAUCGCCGAAAGAUCGGCCCGCGUCUGAUUAGCUAGUUGGUGAGGUAACGGCUCACCAAGGCAACGAUCAGUAGCUGGUCUGAGAGGAUGAUCAGCCACAUUGGGACUGAGACACGGCCCAAACUCCUACGGGAGGCAGCAGUGGGGAAUAUUGGACAAUGGGCGCAAGCCUGAUCCAGCCAUGCCGCGUGAGUGAUGAAGGCCCUAGGGUUGUAAAGCUCUUUUGUGCGGGAAGAUAAUGACGGUACCGCAAGAAUAAGCCCC